rnacentral:rRNA from 1 species
UACGUAGGCAGCAAGCGUUGUUCGGAGUUACUGGGCGUAAAGGGUGUGUAGGCGGUUGUUUAAGUUUGGUGUGAAAUCUCCCGGCUCAACUGGGAGGGUGCGCCGAAUACUGAAUGACUCGAGUGCGGGAGAGGAAAGUGGAAUUCCUGGUGUAGCGGUGAAAUGCGUAGAUAUCAGGAGGAACACCGGUGGUGUAGACGGCUUUCUGGACCGUAACUGACGCUGAGGAGCGAAAGCGUGGGGAGCGAACAGG